AACUACAACUCAUCGGUAUUAAAUAAUCUAUAUUUAUCCUCCAGAAGAAAUCCUCAAACUCCCAGAAAUUCCAUUUGCCUGAGAGAC